CUCAUCUUCCCCCUGUUACCCUCGGCCAUACAAGGAACUGGAAUAGGAAGAGACCCUGCCUAGUCAUAGCCUCUGGGGGCCUGGGGGGCUCAGGGGAGGACGGAGGACAAGGGGCCAGUUUUAGAGCCCAGACCAGGCAGAGCCCUUUGUUCUGGCGGGGGUUGGGGGGCGGUUGGAGGGCUGCCCCUAGACCUGGACCACAGCCCUGCAGGAACCCAAGGCUCCUCCCCACCACAUGAGCUUCCCAGCUUGGUGUGGUGUCUUCCCAGACCCUGCCCGGCCAGACCUCAGUCCCCUGCAAGGUGGCCAGGCAGGGACUGUCCACCGUGCUCAUUGCUGCGAAGUUCUCAGGGCCUGGCAUGGAGCAGGCACUCGAUAUUUGCUGAAGAAUAAAUGCCAGGAGCCCCAAAAGCCCUCCUCUUCCCGGGGCUCCUCUGUCGCCUGCCUGUUAGGCACCUUGCCUCCUCCCUCCUCAAGAACCACCUAGAACCUGCCAGAAUAAAGUCAGGUGGAGUACAAGCCCCCAGUGAAGUGGCAGAGGAGACAGAAACAGCAGGAAGAAUGCAGGCAUAGAGCCGGCCAAGAUCUCAGACCUUGUUUCUCGCUUGCUGUGUGGCCUGAGAUGUGUCCCCUCCUCCAGAUUCCUGCCUCCAGUUUGCUCUCUCCAUCCAAGGACGCGUAGCUGGAUACCAGUCCUUAGACGCUGCUCUGCUCACGCCCCACUCCUGCUCAGUGACGCUCCAUGGUUCCCCGUGGCCUUCGGGCAGCGUGGCCUUCUCCUCUCCCAGGUCGGCCCUCAAGGGCUUUCCAGCCUGUUUCCAAUCCAGCCAAACAGGUGUGCUCGCCAUCUGCUGAGUCCCGCCUGGUGCCCCGGAAGGCCCCAUCCUCUUGCCAACCCUGGCCUGACCCACCUACUUGCAUCCCCCACGCCCAGCCUGGCCCUGGGACUGCUGGCUCCUCAGACAAGCCUUGCCCUGACGGGGCACAUCCAGGGCCCCUGGGCUGGCACGGAGCAUCCUUCCUGCUCCCCUCAGCUCCUCCUGCACCCCACCCCCACCCACCCGCUGCAUGGCUCUUAGCACAUGACCUUGCCUCCCACUUCCAGAGAGAAUUGAGGCCAUCUGGCCGGAAGCCCUCCCAGGCCUGCCCCACACCCAGCACCCGCUCCUCCCCUCUCACCUCCAGGUAUAGUUGUGCCUCCCGCCUCCAAGGCCAGCCUAGUUCCCAGGCUCCACACGCCACACACACAC